UGCAACUCGACUGCGUGAAGUCGGAAUCGCUAGUAAUCGUGAAUCAGAAUGUCACGGUGAAUACGUUCCCGGGCCUUGUACACACCGCCCGUCACACCAUGGGAGUGGGUUGCUCCAGAAGUAGCUAGUCUAACCUUCGGGGGGACGGUUACCACGGAGUGAUUCAUGACUGGGGUGAAGUCGUAACAAGGUAGCCGUAGGGGAACCUGCGGCUG
rnacentral:rRNA from 1 species